UGGGGAAUAUUGCACAAUGGGCGAAAGCCUGAUGCAGCAACGCCGCGUGAGUGAUGAAGGUCUUCGGAUUGUAAAGCUCUGUCUUUUGGGACGAUAAUGACGGUACCAAAGGAGGAAGCCACGGCUAACUACGUGCCAGCAGCCGCGGUAAUACGUAGGUGGCGAGCGUUGUCCGGAUUUACUGGGCGUAAAGGGUGCGUAGGCGGAUGUUUAAGUGAGAUGUGAAAUACCAGGCUUAACUUGGGUGCUGCAUUUCAAACUGGAUAUCUAGAGUGCAGGAGAGGAGAAUGGAAUUCCUAGUGUAGCGGUGAAAUGCGUAGAGAUUAGGAAGAACACCAGUGGCGAAGGCGAUUCUCUGGACUGUAACUGACGCUGAGGCACGAAAGCGUGGGUAGCAAACAGGAUUAGAUACCCUGGUAGUCCACGCCGUAAACGAUGAGUACUAGGUGUAGGAGGUAUCGACCCCUUCUGUGCCGCAGUAAACACAUUAAGUACUCCGCCUGGGAAGUACGAUCGCAAGAUUAAAACUC
rnacentral:rRNA from 1 species